rfam:Gossypium raimondii Chr05_contig_33, whole genome shotgun sequence.
UAUUAAAAAAUUCAUCCAUUUCUAUUGUUAAAAACUAGUGUUGUUGAUGAAAUUACUAGACAGUUACAUGUACCUCAUGCUAACGUACAAAGACUAGUUUUAAAUAAUAGAAAUGGAUGAAAUUUUUAACA